UUUUUUAAUGGGCUUAUUGAAAGAUCAGCAUUGAGGCUAGUGUUGUUCAUUCAGCAAGCCACCCAGCCUAGUUUACAUAUCUGAGAGAUGCUGCUGAUGCAUAUGUUGAUUUUAAUGAUGCUUUUGAUGAUCUCAGCUGAAAUAGAUGCCAACCCGUACACAAAAAGAGGUAGUAGUUGUGCAUUUCGGAAUGAAAGGUGUUACUGGUGGGCGCCGUGUUGUGACGUUAAGGAUAGAUGCAAGUUCAGUCCAGGUAUAAAAAAUCCAAGAUGUUUACGAAUAGUUUGAUUUGCCUAUAUUAAACUA